rnacentral:rRNA from 1 species
GAUGAACGCUGGCGGCGUGCCUAAUACAUGCAAGUCGAGCGAACGGACGAGAAGCUUGCUUCUCUGAUGUUAGCGGCGGACGGGUGAGUAACACGUGGAUAACCUACCUAUAAGACUGGGAUAACUUCGGGAAACCGGAGCUAAUACCGGAUUAUAUUUUGAACCGCAUGGUUCAAAAGUGAAAGACGGUCUUGCUGUCACUUAUAGAUGGAUCCGCGCUGCAUUAGCUAGUUGGUAAGGUAACGGCUUACCAAGGCAACGAUGCAUAGCCGACCUGAGAGGGUGAUCGGCCACACUGGAACUGAGACACGGUCCAGACUCCUAAGGGAGGCAGCAGUAGGGAAUCUUCCGCAAUGGGCGAAAGCCUGACGGAGCAACGCCGCGUGAGUGAUGAAGGUCUUCGGAGCGUAAAACUCUGUUAUUAGGGAAGAACAUAUGUGUAAGUAACUGUGCACAUCUUGACGGUACCUAAUCAGAAAGCCACGGCUAACUACGUG